rnacentral:rRNA from 1 species
CCUGGUUGAUCCUGCAAGUAGUCAUAUGCUUGUCUCAAAGAUUAAUCCAUGCAUGUCUAAGUAUGAACUAAUUCAAACUGUGAAACUACAAAUGGCUCAUUAAAUCAGUUAUAGUUUUUUUGAUGGUACCAUACUACUCGGAUAACCAUAGUAAUUCUAGAGCUAAUACAUGCACCAAAUCCCGACAGCCCUUGUGCUGGUGAUGCUUCAUUCAAAUUUCUUCCCUAUCAACUUUCGAUGGUAGGAUAGAGGCCUACCAUGGUGGUGACGGGUGAUGGAGAAUUAGGGUUUGAUUCCAGAGAGGAAGCUUGAGAAACAACUACCACAUCUAAGGAAGGCAGUAGUUGCACAAAUUACCCAAUCCUAACAUGGGGAGGUAGUGACAAUAAAUAACAAUAUUGGGCUCAUCGAGUCUGUUAAUUGGAAUGAGUACAAUCUAAAUCCCUUAACAAGGAUCCAUUGGAGGGCAAGUCUAGUGCCAACAGCCAUGGUAAUUCUAGCUCCAAUAGCAUAUAUUUAAGUUCUUGCAGUUAAAAAUCUCGUAGUUGGGUCUUGGGUCAUAAAGGUCGGUCCACCUACUCAGUGUGCACCUGCCCUCCAUCCCUUUUUUUGGCGGCGUGCUCCUAGCCUUAAUUGGCUGGGUCGCAACUUCAGCGUUGUUACUUUGAAAAAAUUAGAUUGCUCAAAGAAAGAUUAUGCUCUGAAUAAAUUAGCAUGGAAUAAUGUGAUAGGAGUUUGGUCCUAUUGUGUUGGCCUUUGGGACCGGAGUAAUGAUUAAUAGGGACUGUCACGGGAAUUUGUAUUUCAUUUUCAGAGGUGAAAUUCUUGGAUUUAUGAAAGAAGAACCACUGAAAAAGAAUUUUCCAAGGAUGUUUUCAUUAAUAAAGAAUGAAAUUUGGGGGAUCGAAGAUGAUCAGAUACCAUCCUAGUGUCAACCAUAAACGAUGUCGACCAGGGAUCGUUGGAUGUUGCUCUAAGGACUCCACCAGCACCUUCUGAGAAAUCAGAGUGUUUGGGUUCUGGGGGGAGUAUUGUUGUAAGGCUAAAACUUAAAGGAAUUGAUGGGAGGGCACCACCAAGAGUGGAUCAUGUGGCUUAAUUUGACUCAACACGAGGAAACUUACGAAGUCUAGACAUAAUAAGGAUUAACAGAUUGAGAGAUCUUUCUUGAUUCUAUGGGUGGUGGUGCAUGGUUGUUCUUAGUUGGUGGAGCGAUUUGUCUGGUUAAUUCCAAUAACAAACGAGACCUCAGCCUGCUAACUAGCUACGUGGAGGUUCCCCUUCGCGGCCAGAUUCUUAGGGGGACUAUGGCCAUUUAGGCCAUGGAAGUUUGAGGCAAUAACAAAUAUGUGAUGCCCUUCGAUGUUCUGGGUUGCACGCGUAGUACACUAAUGCAACCAACGAGUUUCUCUUCCUGGUUCGAGAGGAUCAGGAAAUAUUCUAAAAUUGCAUCAUGACGGGGAUAGACCAUUGCAAUUAUUGGUCUUCAGUGAGGAAUUCCUAGUAAGCGUGUGUCAUCAACUCAUGUUGACUACGUCCCUGCCCUUUGUACACACCGCCCAUCACUCCUACUGAUUGAAUGAUCCGGUGAAGUGUUCGGAUUGCAUCGAUAAUGGUGGUCCACCGUCGUCGACGUUGUGAGAAGUUCAUUGAACCUUAUCAUUUAGAGGAAAGAGAAGUCGUAACAAGGUUACCGUAGGUGAACCUGGAGCAG